GGAGGUUCAGGGCCAGUUUUAGGACCAGUAGGACCAACAGCAUUCUUCAGGAGGAGGUUCAGGGCCAGUUUUAGGACCAGUAGGACCAACAGCAUUCUUCAGGAGGAGGUUCAGGGCCAGUUUUAGGUCCAACAGUAGCCAGCUUCAGGAGGAGGUUCAGGGCCAGUUUUAGGACCAGUAGGACCAACAGCCUUCUUCAGGAGGAGGUUCAGGGCCAGUUUUAGGACCAGUAGGACCAACAGCAUUCUUCAGGAGGAGGUUCAGGGCCAGUUUUAGGUCCAACAGUAUCCAGCUUCAAGAGGAGAGUCUGGGCCAGUUUUAGGACCAACAGUAUCCAGCUUCAAGAGGAGGUUCAGGGCCAGUUUUAGGACCAACAGUAUCCAGCUUCAAGAGGAGGUUCAGGGCCAGUUUUAGGACCAACAGUAUCCAGCUUCAAGAGGAGGUUCAGGGCCAGGUUUAGAACCAGUAGGACCAACAGUAUCCUGCUUCAGGAGGAGGUUCAGGACCAGUUUUAGGACUAGUAGGACCAACAGCCUGCUUCAGGGCCAGUUUUAGGACCAGUAGGACCAACAGUAUCCUGCUUCAGGAGGAGGUUCAGGGCCAGUUUUAGGACCAGUAGGACCAACAGCCUGCUUCAGGAGGAGGUUCAGGGCCAGUUUUAGGACCAGUAGGACCAACAGCAUUCUUCAGGAGGAGGUUCAGGGCCAGUUUUAGGUCCAACAGUAUCCAGCUUCAAGAGGAGAGUCUGGGCCAGUUUUAGGACCAACAGUAUCCAGCUUCAAGAGGAGGUUCAGGGCCAGUUUUAGGACCAACAGUAUCCAGCUUCAAGAGGAGGUUCAGGGCCAGGUUUAGAACCAGUAGGACCAACAGUAUCCUGCUUCAGGAGGAGGUUCAGGACCAGUUUUAGGACUAGUAGGACCAACAGCCUGCUUCAGGGCCAGUUUUAGGACCAGUAGGACCAACAGUAUCCUGCUUCAGGAGGAGGUUCAGGGCCAGUUUUAGGACCAGUAGGACCAACAGCCUGCUUCAGGAGGAGGUUCAGGGCCAGUUUUAGGACCAGUAGGACCAACAGCCUGCUUCAGGAGGAGGUUCAGGGCCAGUUUUAGGACCAGUAGGACCAACAGUAUCCUGCUUCAGGAGGUGGUUCAGGGACAGUUUUAGGACCAGUAGGACCAACAGCCUGCUUCAGGAGGAGGUUCAGGGCCAGUUUUAGGACCAGUAGGACCAACAGCCUGCUUCAGGAGGAGGUUCAGGGCCAGUUUUAGGACCAGUAGGACCAACAGCCUGCUUCAGGAGGAGGUUCAGGGCCAGUUUUAGGACCAGUAGGACCAACAGCAUUCUUCAGGAGGAGGUUCAGGGCCAGUUUUAGGUCCAACAGCCUUCUUCAAGAGGAGGUUCAGGGCCAGUUUUAGGUUCAACAGUAGCCAGCUUCAGGAGGAGGUUCAGGGCCAGUUUUAGAACCAGUAUGUCCAACAGCCUUCUUCAAGAGGAGGUUCGGGGCCAGUUUUAGGACCAGUAGGACCAACAGCCUGUUUCAAGAGGUUCAGGGCCAGUUUUAGGACCAGUAGGACCAACAGCCUUCUUCAGGAGGAGGUUCAGGGCCAGUUUUAGGACCAGUAGGACCAACAGCAUUCUUCAGGAGGAGGUUCAGGGCCAGUUUUAGGUCCAACAGUAUCCAGCUUCAAGAGGAGAGUCUGGGCCAGUUUUAGGACCAACAGUAUCCAGCUUCAAGAGGAGGUUCAGGGCCAGUUUUAGGACCAACAGUAUCCAGCUUCAAGAGGAGGUUCAGGGCCAGGUUUAGAACCAGUAGGACCAACAGUAUCCUGCUUCAGGAGGAGGUUCAGGACCAGUUUUAGGACUAGUAGGACCAACAGCCUGCUUCAGGGCCAGUUUUAGGACCAGUAGGACCAACAGUAUCCUGCUUCAGGAGGAGGUUCAGGGCCAGUUUUAGGACCAGUAGGACCAACAGCCUGCUUCAGGAGGAGGUUCAGGGCCAGUUUUAGGACCAGUAGGACCAACAGUAUCCUGCUUCAGGAGGUGGUUCAGGGACAGUUUUAGGACCAGUAGGACCAACAGCCUGCUUCAGGAGGUGGUUCAGGGCCAGUUUUAGGACCAGUAGGACCAACAGCCUUCUUCAGGAUGAGGUUCAGGGCCAGUUUUAGGACCAGUAGGACCAACAGCAUUCUUCAAGAGGAGGUUCAGGGCCAGUUUUAGGUCCAACAGUAUCCAGCUUCAAGAGGAGAGUCUGGGCCAGUUUUAGGACCAACAGUAUCCAGCUUCAAGAGGAGGUUCAGGGCCAGUUUUAGGACCAACAGUAUCCAGCUUCAAGAGGAGGUUCAGGGCCAGUUUUAGGUUCAACAGUAGCCAGCUUCAGGAGGAGGUUCAGGACCAGUUUUAGGACUAGUAGGACCAACAGCCUGCUUCAGGGCCAGUUUUAGGACCAGUAGGACCAACAGUAUCCUGCUUCAGGAGGAGGUUCAGGGCCAGUUUUAGGACCAGUAGGACCAACAGCCUGCUUCAGGAGGAGGUUCAGGGCCAGUUUUAGGACCAGUAGGACCAACAGCCUGCUUCAGGAGGAGGUUCAGGGCCAGUUUUAGGACCAGUAGGACCAACAGUAUCCUGCUUCAGGAGGUGGUUCAGGGACAGUUUUAGGACCAGUAGGACCAACAGCCUGCUUCAGGAGGAGGUUCAGGGCCAGUUUUAGGACCAGUAGGACCAACAGUAUCCUGCUUCAGGAGGAGGUUCAGGGCCAGUUUUAGGACCAGUAGGACCAACAGCCUGCUUCAGGAGGAGGUUCAGGGCCAGUUUUAGGACCAGUAGGACCAACAGCCUGCUUCAGGAGGAGGUUCAGGGCCAGUUUUAGGACCAGUAGGACCAACAGUAUCCUGCUUCAGGAGGUGGUUCAGGGACAGUUUUAGGACCAGUAGGACCAACAGCCUGCUUCAGGAGGAGGUUCAGGGCCAGUUUUAGGACCAGUAGGACCAACAGCCUGCUUCAGGAGGAGGUUCAGGGCCAGUUUUAGGACCAGUAGGACCAACAGUAUCCUGCUUCAGGAGGUGGUUCAGGGACAGUUUUAGGACCAGUAGGACCAACAGCCUGCUUCAGGAGGAGGUUCAGGGCCAGUUUUAGGACCAGUAGGACCAACAGCCUGCUUCAGGAGGAGGUUCAGGGCCAGUUUUAGGACCAGUAGGACCAACAGCCUGCUUCAGGAGGUGGUUCAGGGCCAGUUUUAGGACCAACAGUAUCCUGCUUCAGGAGGAGGUUCAGGGCCAGGUUUAGGACUAGUAGGACCAACAGUAGCCUGCUUCAGGAGGAGGUUCAGGGACAGUUUUAGGAGCAGUAGGACCAACAGUAUCCUGCUUCAGGAGGAGGUUCAGGGCCAGUUUUAGGACCAACAGUAUCCUGCUUAAGGAGGAGGUUCAGGGCCAGUUUUAGGACCAACAGUAUCCUGCUUAAGGAGGAGGUUCAGGGCCAGUUUUAGGACCAACAGUAUCCUGCUUAAGGAGGAGGUUCAGGGCCAGUUUUAGGACCAACAGUAUCCUGCU